rnacentral:rRNA from 1 species
UACGUAGGGGGCAAGCGUUGUCCGGAUUUAUUGGGCGUAAAGAGCGUGUAGGCGGCUUUGCAAGUCCGUUGUGAAAACUCGAGGCUCAACCUCGAGACGCCGGUGGAAACUGCAAAGCUAGAGUCCGGAAGAGGAGAGUGGAAUUCCUGGUGUAGCGGUGAAAUGCGCAGAUAUCAGGAAGAACACCCGUGGCGAAGGCGGCUCUCUGGGACGGUACUGACGCUGAGACGAGAAAGCGUGGGGAGCGAACAGG